rnacentral:misc_RNA from 1 species
AUGAAGAUUAUUCACAUUUAGAUCCUAAUAGUGAUAUUGCAGAGAAAAGAGUUGUGGGUUUUUUCCAUGAAUUGCUUUCUUUGUUCGUUGAGCAUUCAGCUGAAAGGAAGAAGCUUUUGAGCCUUAAGAAGUAUUUUGGGUUGCCCCAGAAGGUGCACAAGGCAUUUGAAAGGCAUCCCCACAUGUUUUACUUGUCUUUUAAGAACAAGACUUGCACAGCAAUUCUGAAGGAGGCUUAUGGUGAUGAUGAACUGGCUAUAGAGAGGCAUCCAAUGUUGAUGGUCAGGAAGAAGUACAUAAGGUUGAUGAAGGAAUCAGAGGUGAUUUUGAAGAGGAGAAGAGCGAACAAUCCAUUUGCUGAAUGUAGAAAGUUGGAUUUGGCUAUGGAUUCUGUCAAUGAAGACAGAAGAGAAGAGAAAUGGGAGUGUUUCAGGUAGAGACUGAUUAGAGUUGAAAGCUGAUUUUACAUGCCAUUCACUGGUUCUGGUUUCAUCAUAGGUUGUGGAUAGGCAGAUUGCAUUACCCCCAUAGACUUGUAUCUAUUGUUGAAGAGAAAGCAACAAGUAUACUCUUGGCUGAGUUUCAGAUAUCUCUUAUUUUUAAAGGGUGUCUUGUGAAAUUAGAAAUUAUUGUCUAAACUGGGUUCAUUCAAGAUGCAACAUAUAGGACCAUAUAUAUUGAAUAGGUGAGUCUCGUUAUAUUGCAUCUUGAAUGAACCCAGUUUAGACA